GAUCCUGGCUUAGGAUGAACGCUAGCUACAGGCUUAACACAUGCGAGUCGAGGGGCAGCAUAAAGUCAGCUUGCUGAUUUGAUGGCGACCGGCGCACGGGUGAGUAACGCGUAUCCAACCUUCCCUAUAGUAGGGGAUAGCCCGGCGAAAGUCGGAUUAAUACCCUAUGUUCUUCAUAGAUGACAUCUGAAAUGAAGCAAAGGUUCACCGCUAUAGGAUGGGGAUGCGUCUGAUUAGGUUGUAGGCGGGGUAACGGCCCACCUAGCCGACGAUCAGUAGGGGUUCUGAGAGGAAGGUCCCCCACAUUGGUACUGAGACACGGACCAAACUCCUACGGGAGGCAGCAGUGAGGAAUAUUGGUCAAUGGGCGGGAGCCUGAACCAGCCAAGUAGCGUGCAGGAAGACGGCCCUACGGGUUGUAAACUGCUUUUAUGAGGGGAUAAAGUGGGCUACGUGUAGCUUAUUGCAGGUACCUCAUGAAUAAGGACCGGCUAAUUCCGUGCCAGCCGCCGC
rnacentral:rRNA from 1 species